GGGCCCGUAGCUCAGUCAGGUUAGAGCGCCCGGCUCAUAACCGGGUGGUCAAGGGUUCGAAUCCCUUCGGGCCCA
rfam:Candidate divison MSBL1 archaeon SCGC-AAA261F19 AAA261F19_Contig_18, whole genome shotgun sequence.